rnacentral:rRNA from 1 species
GGCGCCAGUCUACCAUGCAGUCGAGCGGAACGAGUUAUCUGAACCUUCGGGGGACGAUAACGGCGUCGAGCGGCGGACGGGUGAGUAAUGCCUAGGAAAUUGCCCUGAUGUGGGGGAUAACCAUUGGAAACGAUGGCUAAUACCGCAUGAUGCCUACGGGCCAAAGAGGGGGACCUUCGGGCCUCUCGCGUCAGGAUAUGCCUAGGUGGGAUUAGCUAGUUGGUGAGGUAAGGGCUCACCAAGGCGACGAUCCCUAGCUGGUCUGAGAGGAUGAUCAGCCACACUGGAACUGAGACACGGUCCAGACUCCUACGGGAGGCAGCAGUGGGGAAUAUUGCACAAUGGGCGCAAGCCUGAUGCAGCCAUGCCGCGUGUGUGAAGAAGGCCUUCGGGUUGUAAAGCACUUUCAGUCGUGAGGAAGGUAGUGUAGUUAAUAGCUGCAUUAUUUGACGUUAGCGACAGAAGAAGCACCGGCUAACUCCGUGCCAGCAGCCGCGGUAAUACGGAGGGUGCGAGCGUUAAUCGGAAUUACUGGGCGUAAAGCGCAUGCAGGUGGUUUGUUGAGUCAGAUGUGAAAGCCCGGGGCUCAACCUCGGAAUUGCAUUUGAAACUGGCAGACUAGAGUACUGUAGAGGGGGGUAGAAUUUCAGGUGUAGCGGUGAAAUGCGUAGAGAUCUGAAGGAAUACCGGUGGCGAAGGCGGCCCCCUGGGACAGAUACUGACACUCAGAUGCGAAAGCGUGGGGAGCAAACAGGAUU